AUACGGAGGAUCCGAGCGUUAUCCGGAUUUAUUGGGUUUAAAGGGUGCGCAGGCGGGAGAUUAAGUCGGCGGUGAAAUUUUGCAGCUCAACUGUAAAAGUGCCUUCGAAAAUGGAUUCCUUGAGUGUAGAUGAAGUAGGCGGAAUUUGUGGUGUAGCGGUGGAAUGCAUAGAGAUCACGAGGAACUCCGAUUGCGCAGGCAGCUUACUAAACUACUACUGACGCUCAGGCACGAAGGCGUGGGGAUCAAACAGGAUUAGAUACCCUGGUAGUCCACGCAUUAAACGAUGAUUACUAGCUGUUUGCGAUACAAUGUAAGCGGCUGAGCGAAAGCGUUAAGUAAUCCACCUGGGGAGUACGUUCGCAAGAAUGAAACUCAAAGGAAUUGACGGGG
rnacentral:rRNA from 1 species